rnacentral:piRNA from 1 species
UAAGCCGAAGAACAAUUGCCCAAGGGU